rnacentral:rRNA from 1 species
UCCCACCCUUAAUACCAAACCCUUUAAUAGUACUGAGUAAUUCUAUAAUAUUAUAGAAAAUUUUAUGUUAAAACUAGUAACAAGAAGAAGAACUUCUCUUAAAUGCAAGCGUAAGUCAUUAUGGACACCCCAUUGACAUUUAACAUCUAUGAGCCUACAGUACAAACACAACAAGAAAAACUUACUUAACACAAUGUUAACCUAACACUAGAGCAUUAAAAGAAAGAUUAAAAGAAAAAGAAGGAACUCGGCAAACUUUAACCUCGCCUGUUUACCAAAAACAUCGCCUCUUGCAAGCAUAAGAGGUCCAGCCUGCCCAGUGACUCUGUUUAACGGCCGCGGUAUCCUGACCGUGCGAAGGUAGCGUAAUCACUUGUUCUUUAAAUGAGGACUAGUAUGAAUGGCACCACGAAGGUUAUACUGUCUCCUUUAUCCAAUCAGUGAAACUAAUCUCCCCGUGAAGAAGCGGGGAUAUACAUAUAAGACGAGAAGACCCUAUGGAGCUUUAAACACAGUAACAUUUGCGCCAGCGAGCCUAUAAUUACACCCGCCCUGCAUUAUGAUUAUUAGUUUUAGGUUGGGGUGACCGCGGAGUAAAACUAAACCUCCACGUUGGACUGAAAACUUUUUAACGAAGAAAGACAUUUCUAUGUAUCAACAAAUUGACAUUCAUUGACCCAAUAUUUUGAUCAACGAACCAAGUUACCCUAGGGAUAACAGCGCAAUCCACUUUGAGAGUCCCUAUCGACAAGAGGGUUUACGACCUCGAUGUUGGAUCAAGGUAUCCAAGUGGUGCAGCAGCUACUAAA